GACGAACGCUGGCGGCGUGCCUAACACAUGCAAGUCAACUUGACUGAAGGAGCAAUCUGACAGUAGAGUGGCGCAAGGGUGCGUAACGCGUAAGUAACUUGCCCAAGGUAAGGAAUAACGUCGAGAAAUCGGCGCUAAUACCUCAUAAUGCAGCGGAUCCGCAUGGAUAUGUUGUUAAAGGUUUACCGCCUUGGGAUAGGCUUGCGUCUGAUUAGCUAGUUGGUGUGGUAACGGCACACCAAGGCUACGAUCAGUAACUGGUCUGAGAGGAUGAUCAGUCACACUGGAACUGAGACACGGUCCAGACUCCUACGGGAGGCAGCAGUGAGGAAUAUUGGGCAAUGCUCGAAAGAGUGACCCAGCAACGCCGCGUGGAGGGAUGAAGGUAAUUCUAUAUCGUAAACUCCUGUGAGAGCAGACGAAAGACAGA
rnacentral:rRNA from 1 species